rnacentral:lncRNA from 1 species
CCUGACACGGGGCUCCAGAAAGCACACCUUAAUGUAUGCCUGUGCACAAAGUCAACGGCUGCUUCCUACUCCACCGUCUGUUGAAGGCAUGUGGAUUCCCCCACAAGGGGUGAUUUAGGGAUGCCUACGUAUUCUCCUUUGGCAUAAGUGCCAAAACAAGACAAGGUAUAUCUGGAGCCACGCUAUACGCAGCGGUGAUGCGCUGGGAUGGAUGUCCCUGAGCACCCAUCGUGCCAGCAGCCCCCCAGCUCCGAGGUCUGUUUCGCACCCCGCAGUGACUGAGUGGCUCCGUGCAGCCACCAGCCUCACGAACAACACCAGUGGGUGUUGACAGCACAAUAACCUGCAUAGACAUGGCAAGAGUCUCAAAAAAAUAUACGAGAUGCAAAGGGAAAAUGAGGAAAGCUCUGAUGAAUGAGGCAGUUUGUUAAACAGGAAAAUCAGCAUGAAGAGGACACCCAAAUCCUUGCACAGCUCGUUGUCGGAGCAGGACAAAUAGUGGGAAAUGAAGGCUCUUCAGCAGAGACCAGGAACCGUCCAGACAUCUCUUGCAGUCUCACCGCUUCGUGCUUCUGGCAUCCCCCCUCUAAUGGAUCCUGCAGGUCAAAUGUCUCAGGAGCUCCAGACCCUUGCCAAAUGUUGGUGCUAAUAUGUAUGUCUGCUAUGGGGGAGAGAGAAAUGUCUGCAGCAAAUAGGAGGCAGGGGAGACAGACGUGUCUUCUUACGUGAUCUGCUUUUUUUUCUUUGAAUGCAGAAUCCUCUUCUUUCACCAAUAAGGGAAGCAGUUUGCAAAAGUUAAAACCACUCGAACUUUAUUGUAAAACAAUUAGAUGGUGAACCCUUCUUUAGCACUAAGUCCUAUCAAAUGAUGUUAAACUGGAGUACCAAUCAGAUUCAGAGAUAUACAUAACGUGCUGAACUCUCAGCUUCUUCUGUAGGACAAGCACAAGCAGUUCUCACUGCUCAACAGUGUGCGUAGCAGCCUUGUGGGCAUUGAGCGUCAGCGUGAUCAUUCCUAUAGCACUUCACAUAUCUCUGAAACGGGAGUAUACUUUCUCAAAUAGCUUUUCCAGCAGGAAGAAGCAAAAAUGUAUUUUUCUGGGAAAGGGCAUUUUUUCCUUCAUGUCUCAGUCUGAGUUUUAACAGUAGCUUUAAUGUUAAUAACCAAGAAUAUACUUUGGCAUAUGGCAGCUGGAGGGCCUGAUUGGCAGUUAAUGAAAGAUAAGGAGGAUUCAUUGCAUGGAAAAAAUUAUUAUUGAACAACUGAACCAAUGCUUGUUACACCUUGGCUUUCCACUCCUAAUGCGAGCCAAAUGUUACAUCUCAAUCUGCAAAGCGUGCAGUAUUUUACAGAUGUCUAAGGAAAUAAAUUGUCAUGUAUAUCAAUUUUCUUGUGACA